rnacentral:rRNA from 1 species
UGGGGAAUAUUGGACAAUGGGCGAAAGCCUGAUCCAGCCAUGCCGCGUGUGUGAAGAAGGUCUUCGGAUUGUAAAGCACUUUAAGUUGGGAGGAAGGGCAGUAAGCGAAUACCUUGCUGUUUUGACGUUACCGACAGAAUAAGCACCGGCUAACUCUGUGCCAGCAGCCGCGGUAAUACAGAGGGUGCAAGUGUUAAUCGGAAUUACUGGGCGUAAAGCGCGCGUAGGUGGUUCGUUAAGUUGAAUGUGAAAGCCCCGGGCUCAACCUGGGAACUGCAUCCAAAACUGGCGAGCUAGAGUAGGGCAGAGGGUGGUGGAAUUUCCUGUGUAGCGGUGAAAUGCGUAGAUAUAGGAAGGAACACCAGUGGCGAAGGCGACCACCUGGGCUCAUACUGACACUGAGGUGCGAAAGCGUGGGGAGCAAACAGG